GUGGGAAAUGUAAGGAAUUUUAUCUGAGAGAAAUUAGCAUACUAUUCUGAAGAACAUGAUAAGAUCUAAAUAUGCAGUUUUAUAGUAGCAGAUAUUUCAUCAGCACUUUUCUUGCAUGAGUUUGCUCAGUAAUUUUUUCUCUUUUCUGACACUUCUGUUUUAGAUCCAGUGAGUGUGAUACAAGAAGUGUAAGCCACCUGAGUUCUGUGGACUUCAGGGAAGUAACAUUAUUUUAUAUCAUCUCAGGAAGCUCUGUAUGAGAACAGGAAAAGGCCACGUGGCUGCUCUCCCUGUUUCAGUUCCUACAAAGCAUCUUAGACUUGAUAAAUUAAAAAAAAUGCUCUAGUGGCUUAUGUUUGGCAAUACUUUUGCAGAAGGUGGAGGUAAGGCUUAAAUACUAAAAAAGUCAGGAAGCCAUUUUUACCUGUGAUUCAGCAACUUUGGCAUUUCAGAAACGCAGCAAGAAGCUUUGGAGGGCUGAGAAAGCCCUGUAAGCUCUAGUGAAAGCAGUGUGCUCUGCUACUGAGCUCCCUGGACUGGCUGUGACAGGAAUCCAAAAUGCCAGAAUAUUGCCCAGUGUGCUGUUGUAACUGAUGAUUGCACACAAAAUGGGAGAAGGUAUUGGCAUGGCAGUGAUAAAAGUAUUAUUAGGAAAUAAACUCUGAAAGAAAAAAAAAAAAAUCUCACAUUUAAGAAGUAUUUUGAUACUUCCAGAACACAAGAGAGAUUGUGUUCUCUGGUGUGCAUACAUCAGUUUGUGCUAUUGUGUGUGCUGUGAAAUGAGAGUUUAAUAUAAAUGUAAGCACAAUCUUGCAUUGAGCAGUGAUUGAAAGGUUUACUUUCUUUUUUUUUUUUUUUCAGCUGUUCAUUUCUGCAGUAGAAACUGAAGUGACCAGUAUGGCAAUGUAAGGGGCAGGGAAAUGGAGAGUCCCAACUGGGCUCCCUCCCACUGGUCUGAGGGAAUUGGUAUUCACUGGGUAAUGUUGUAUCUUUGUGGAAAAUGCUGAAAGCUGAGAAACAAAAGGAAGCACAUUUGUUGUUCAGUGCUUAGUCCUUUUCUGUCACAAAGCAUGAAAUGAUAGUUUAGACCUUAGAAGUGAGGAGCAAUGAUACUGUAUGCAAACUGAAUCAAUUUUAAUGGAUUUUUUGGGAGAUCACAAUGACACUAUCCGCAGAAUCAUCAAAGUCACUGUGUGUGCAAAUAAUGCUUGUGAAUUUCUAAGUGGCAACAUUGACUGGGGGCUGUGGGGUUCCUUACAUGCUCAUAAGGUUCUGUGGCUUCUGGGCAUUACCCUGUCCACACUGGAAAGCCCAGAGGCAGAAGUCAAGCACUCCUUUGAGCAGCAAACUGAAAUUUUCUAAGCUGAAAUUCAGUUUCUGCUUCAGCUGUCAGACAUUGCACUGAUCUCAGCAGAUCACAGGAGGCACCUGCAGUUGCUAUGCUCAUGGCAUUCUUUCUUAUAGACAAGCUCUGAGAGAGCUGUGAUCAAAGAAAUAUCAUGUAUGAGGCUGUAAAAGACUAUUUCUCUAGUUCCUUUCAGCCAUGAAGCAGGGGAAGAGGACUUCAAGAUGCUAGUGCUGUUUCUUGCAACAGUGAUGAGCUGGUCAUCAUCAAAAGCUGGCAGUGAUCAAUAUCAAGCUGACAGUGAUCAGCUAAAUAAACCAAGCAGGCCUGCUCCAUGGUGUGCCUGAGCUCUGCAGCUGGGGCACAAGAGUGCCUUGGUUCAUUUCCAGAUACAGACCUGCUUUUCUGCUGUGGUGAGACCUCUGAAGUGGUGACCCACAACUCAACAUUCAGGAUUUUUGCUGUUGAUUUCCUUUUUUAUCUUCCUUUUACCUUUCUAUCUAAUUUCCAUAAGGUUGCUGUUCAUCCUACGUUACAGAAGAGCAAUUCAUUAAGAGCCAAGCUGUAGGUGAGUGGUCUGUAACACACUAUGAAAAAACCUCAAAAUGAAAAAAGUUCUAAGUGAAGGAGUUAUGUUUGAUGCCCAGUGGUUCUGAGAUAUCUAAUCAUAAAUCAGCAGCUGCACCAGUAAAGGACCUUCAAACUGUUGAUGUAAAAUCUUAAGUAUAUUGGGAAUUGCAAAUUUUCUGCCAUAAGAAAAUCACAGAACUUGAAAGGAUGACAUGAAGUUCUGUGUCUGUUAUGUGGUGAGGAAUAUGGUCAGAAAAAGAAAAGAACUUACUUUAAGUGCAAUAUCAAGUUGAAUAAAGCUUACCAAAGAAUAGGAGAAUAUUCAAGUUAAGGUACAGCAAAUAUGGGAAGGUAAAACAUAGAAUAAUUACUACUUACAUUUUCACUCUGUAACCAGACUUCUGUCAGGUUUUGCCAGCUAUGAAGCAGAAAGUGAUGAAGUUAGAAGCCAUGUAUUGAGCAUAGUCACUUCCACUGGAUUUAAUCCACAGAAUCAUUACUUUGAGCUCGGUUAAACUCGUUUCAGUGUUGGUUUUGGUCUUUUAUGGUUUGCCCAUUUAUUAUUUCUGUUUCUUAACUUCUCUUUGCUUUUUGCAAUGUGUGAAUAUUACGUGUUGUCACUUUUGCUAAGCUUCUUUUCAUUCAAAAGCACAGAAAAUACCAACACGUCAUCAGGAAGUGCUCAGAUGAGUGAAUUGAUCCAGUAGCUUAUUCAGUAAAAGUUGCAUAACAUCCAUUCACGUUCAUGCUUGCGAGUCAGCAGUGACUCACAGGUGAAAACACCACUGCAAAAUAUUGCAAAAAUGCUGGAUAUUUCUGCAAUAUGCUUUCUGAAGCAGAUAUUAUCAUGUCAGGUCAGUAAUAUGUUAAGCCUACUGGAGUAGUCAAUGCUCAAAAAUCAGCAUUUUCUAAUUGCAGAAUCAUUACAAAAAGAUAGGUUGUUUGGGUACAAUUGAUGAAUAAUGUUUGCUAUUGGGCAGUUGGUAUGUUUGUGUGAGACUGCAAACUGAAUUUGGAAUUGGGAGUUCUGUCAAUUUUUCUUCUGUCUCUCAGCUGAGCCACUGCAAAGAACAAAAGAAAGUCUUUCAGACAGCAUCAUGAGGUGGUGAAAUUCUGUAUAUUUCUGGGUAGUUGUGCAUCCCAGUGGAGCCUCUGUGAGUAAGAAAAUGGCUGCUUUUCAUGGCAAAAUGUUAUUUAUUAUCUGAAUCUGGACAUAAAGGUGAGAGUGUAAUGGAGAUUCAAGAGCAGUGAUUACAUGAUGAGGCUGAUGAGAGCUUAGCAAAGUAGCUACAAAUUAUACAUAAAAGCACCUCUGCUUAGCCUUUUUCUUUUAAGGAGACCCUACAGAUGCCUGAAAUCCAGGUACUUUGAUGGAGAUAGAAUGAGUUACCCCAUAAUAAUUCAUAGAUGCCAAAACUUAAUCCAUAUGGGAAGGUAAUCUAAACUAGAAAAAGGCACUCUCAAGUCCAACCAAGCAAUUUUCUUGUAGAAUGAGAACCGGGAGACCUUUGUGUUUUGAGAAUUUGAUCCUUGCAUUUUCAGAAAUGCCCAGGCACAGGUUUUUCUGACGCCCUAAAAUCAAAUACUUUUUACAACAUAGUUUAGGCCAAUAAAUGGAUUAAGUGGUAGACAUGCAAUUUAGGUGCUAUGUGUCCUAUGCAGACAGACUUCAGAGAGUUCUCUUGGGGUUUUUUUCAGGAACACUAGGUGACAGUGACAUCAUUUAACAUGACUGUUCUCCUCUCCUGAGUCAGUUCCUGAUGUAGAAGAUAGAUCAUAUCUCUAUAUCAGAGGACAGUUGCAGAAAAAUGUCAUCAAACUACAAAAAAGGCUCAGUUUGCAGAGUCAAGUACAGAAAUGAUCACACACAUGACUAAGUACUGUGCAGAAACUUACAGUUAUUUCCAGGAAAGCCAGGCAGAGGGGGAAAGCUGUGCAUGUCAUUUGGCACAGAAGCUGUACCAGCUGGUGCUCUGGCCCACAAGUGUCCCCAUCGUCCAGGAUGUCCCUGCAAAACCAUAUCAAGGCUCUCCAUUUCUGAGAGCACUGGGUUCAAAGACAUUUUGAAAAUUGGGCUCCUUUAGUGUAGUUUUGGAGACCUUUGACAUCAAUUUUGUAAAUUCUGGCUGUGGCUUCUUCUUUUAAAGCUAAGAGUAGUUUAGUUUACUACCUGAAAAUUUGUUCUGAAGCAGGCCUACGUGCUCCUUUGAGCUAUAUGAGAGUAAUUCCUUUUGAGCUCUGGAAAUAAUGUCUUGCCCAGAAAGCAUUACCUGAGUGCAGUGUGCAUUGCCCUUCACUCAGCACUGCUGAGGCUGCACUGCUGCACCUCCAAUAUUGCAUCCAGUUUUUGGGCCCCUUGCUACAAGAAGAACCUUGAGGUGCUGGAGUGAGCCCAGAGAAUGGCAACAGAGCCAGGGAAGGGUGUGGAGCACAAGUCUGAUGAGAGGGAGCUGGGGGUGUUUAGUUUCCGUUGUGGGGAGAAAGAGGCUUGGAGUGACCUUAUUGCCCUCUACAACUCCCUGAAAGGAGGGUGUAGCCAGGUGUCAACCUCCCAAAUAACAAGUGAAAGGACAAGAGGAAAUGGCCUCAAGUUGCAGUAAGGGUGAUUAUUAGUCUAGAAUAUAAACUAUUUCUGCAAAUAACUGACAACUUGAGGGUUUCAUCUCAGUGGAAAUCCCAAGAUAUGACUUUGAUAUUUUUUAAAUUUUUACCCUAUAUAAAAAAAGGAAAAAGGCCAAAUUAUAUCACCCUUGUGUUCCCAGCCUUCCUAAAGGGCAAUGAUUGGAGGAUGACAGACUCAAAUGCUUACUACAGAAGCAAGGACUCAAUGGGCUGUCACUAUUUAAUUUCAAUUUCUAGCAAACAUAUUCAAAACCAGCACAAGACUACCCAAUAAUUCACAUAAUACAGGAAUGCGGCAAGCUUUUACCUAAAGACAGCAUGUUGUCCCACACCACUCACUUCUUUAUUCAUUUCAACAUUUUAAUGUUGGUUUCCUAAAAUACUUUUGGGGAGUAUCAUGGCAACCAGCACAAUAAAUCAUUCCUCUUCUGCUGCCCUGAGAAAUUAUCCUUUUCCCCUCACUGAUGGCUACCAGCUAAAUUACGUAACAGGCAGAAGGCUGAUAAAAAUUGAAGACAUUUGUUCCACCUUUCCAAGCCCCUGACUCACCCCCUCCUCUCACUGCAGGUAAGCCAAGCACCAGAUGCUCUCCCUCUUCUCUUAGCCAAGAGCCCUGCUCUGAAAGGAGCAAGCCUUCUUCCACUCCAGCACUCACACAACCAACCUUCUACACUCGCCUCCUUCGAAAACUAAACCUCUUCUUCCUGUGUUCCAAACCCAGCUCUUUAGGACACAAAUGUUUUGCACUACCUUCGCUCCUGUCUGUCUCUCAGCCUCACUUUGCACCUGCUGAAUGGGGAAACACCUGGGUCUCCUGCUUAUUUUAACAGCAAGAUCUGUAGGCGGGACUUUACCCCAGCCCGCAACUACUACCAGCACUGCACUGCUUCCAACACCACAAGUCCCAGGCUUCCUGGAAGACAAGAGCCCUUGAAGAACUUUUCUGAAGAGCCUGAAAUCUCUGUUAUCAGAGAAUUAAACAGCCCUGAGGUUUCCACCAGCUUGCUGGAAAGAUGCACUUCUGCAAAUACUCAAGCAUACCUAAAUUAAAUUGAGUUAUGGCAGAAGGGCAAGAGGGGUGUUAAAAAGACAUUGGACAAGUAAAGAAAGAGACAUUGGCUGGAACACAGCUUCAAGGAAAAAUCCAGACCUGAGAGGUAAAAAGGCAGAAGACUUGGAAAGCAGAACCCCAAUUAAGGUUUCUCACCUGGGCAAUCCCCUAGCCCAAAGAAAAUCUGUUGUUUAGGGAUGAUGAGCUAUAGAGUGAACACUAUACUUGUGCAGCUACUUUGAAAUACACAGGCAUCUUCUUCACUUCUGUGGGUUCUGUGAGCUCCAGCCAGAAGGUACAGGCAGGACUAACUGUAGAGAUGCUGUGGCUUCUGCUGCAGGUGUUCAGCAGCAGGAAGACAAGAGAGGGUUUGAGAAGAGCUACUCACAGAUUGCACCAAACAUGCUAAGGCUGGUUUCAUUACGGAGGAUCAUCCUCACCAAUUGGCUACUACAAUACAAUGGUGGGCUCAGUGAAUCUGCCCCUAGAAACCCUGGGUGCGAUUGCACGUCUGUAGACUUUCGUUUGGCCAGAAGGUGCUUGGGAUUAAAGCUGUUCUAGGAUUUGGAAUGUGAUCCUUCUCUGCAAUGUGAAAUACAGAGGCACAAAUCAAAGAAGAGCUGCUCAACCCAUGCUGUGUUUUCUUUUUUACUGCCAAGAACUAGAUGUGCUGCUGAAUCUCAGGUUUACCAUCUCACUCGAUGGUUUGAAGCAGUGUGUCUGUUUGCUGUUGGGUUCACCAUGAAUAUGUAAUUUAACUGCAUAUAAAUCUCCACUCUGGGAACUGUGGUGCAAUAUUUUCAGCAUGCUGGAGAUUCAACUUUGAUGAUGCCUCUGAAAAAAAGUUCAAUGUGAGAAAUAAUCCCAAACCCAUAAAAAGUGAGAGUAUGUAUGUAUCUCUGUGCGGCCAAGGAGGUGGAGAUACAGAAAAAGAGCUGUUGGUGUAGAACUGGGUCUUCUCCCUUCAGAUGGAUCCA